GACCUAAUAGCGAAAUAUGGCAUCGCAUCCACUCCCAAUACACAAGCACAUGCACUGUUGACCAUGUGCAAGCCCCUCGUUCGAAUCGAGGUUAGGUCU